GACGAACGCUGGCGGCGUGCUUAACACAUGCAAGUCGAACGGUAAGGCCCUUCGGGGUACACGAGUGGCGAACGGGUGAGUAACACGUGGGUGAUCUGCCCUGCACUUCGGGAUAAGCCUGGGAAACUGGGUCUAAUACCGGUUAGGACCACUGCCUGCAUGGGUGGUGGUGGAAAGCCUUUGCGGUGUGGGAUGGGCCCGCGGCCUAUCAGCUUGUUGGUGGGGUGAUGGCCUACCAAGGCGACGACGGGUAGCCGGCCUGAGAGGGUGACCGGCCAGACUGGGACUGAGAUACGGCCCAGACUCCUACGGGAGGCAGCAGUGGGGAAUAUUGCACAAUGGGCGCAAGCCUGAUGCAGCGACGCCGCGUGAGGGAUGACGGCCUUCGGGUUGUAAACCUCUUUCAGCACCGACGAAGCGCAAGUGACGGUAGGUGCAGAAGAAGGACCGGCCAACCACGUGCCAGCAGCCGCCGCGGUAA
rnacentral:rRNA from 1 species